GAUGAACGCUGGCGGCGUGCCUAAUACAUGCAAGUCGAGCGAACAGACGAGGAGCUUGCUCCUUUGACGUUAGCGGCGGACGGGUGAGUAACACGUGGAUACCCUACCUAUAUGACUGGGAUAACUUCGGGACACCGGAUCUAAUCCCGGAUAAUAUCUUGAACCGCAUGGUUCAAUAGUGAAUGUCGGCUUUGGUGGCACUUAUAGCUGGUUCCGGGCCGCUUUAGCUAGUUGGUAAGGUAAUGGCUUACCAAGGCGACGAUGCGUAGCCGACCGGAGAGGGUGAUAGGCCACACUGGAGCUGGGCCACGGACCAUACUCCUACGGGAGGCAGCAGUAGGGAAUGGGCCGCAAUGGGCGAAAGCCUGACGGAGCAAGGCGGCGUGAGUGGUGAAGGUCUUCGGAUCGGAAAGCUCUGUUAUGAGGGAAGAACAGAUGUGGAAUUAACUAUGCACGUAGUGACGGUACCUAGUCAGAAAGCCACGGCUAACUACGUG
rnacentral:rRNA from 1 species